rnacentral:rRNA from 1 species
GGUUAAGCGACUAAGCGUACACGGUGGAUGCCCUGGCAGUCAGAGGCGAUGAAGGACGUGCUAAUCUGCGAUAAGCGUCGGUAAGGUGAUAUGAACCGUUAUAACCGGCGAUUUCCGAAUGGGGAAACCCAGUGUGUUUCGACACACUAUCAUUAACUGAAUCCAUAGGUUAAUGAGGCGAACCGGGGGAACUGAAACAUCUAAGUACCCCGAGGAAAAGAAAUCAACCGAGAUUCCCCCAGUAGCGGCGAGCGAACGGGGAGCAGCCCAGAGCCUGAAUCAGUGUGUGUGUUAGUGGAAGCGUCUGGAAAGGCGCGCGAUACAGGGUGACAGCCCCGUACACAAAAAUGCACAUGCUGUGAGCUCGAUGAGUAGGGCGGGACACGUGGUAUCCUGUCUGAAUAUGGGGGGACCAUCCUCCAAGGCUAAAUACUCCUGACUGACCGAUAGUGAACCAGUACCGUGAGGGAAAGGCGAAAAGAACCCCGGCGAGGGGAGUGAAAAAGAACCUGAAACCGUGUACGUACAAGCAGUGGGAGCACGCUUAGGCGUGUGACUGCGUACCUUUUGUAUAAUGGGUCAGCGACUUAUAUUCUGUAGCAAGGUUAACCGAAUAGGGGAGCCGAAGGGAAACCGAGUCUUAACUGGGCGUUAAGUUGCAGGGUAUAGACCCGAAACCCGGUGAUCUAGCCAUGGGCAGGUUGAAGGUUGGGUAACACUAACUGGAGGACCGAACCGACUAAUGUUGAAAAAUUAGCGGAUGACUUGUGGCUGGGGGUGAAAGGCCAAUCAAACCGGGAGAUAGCUGGUUCUCCCCGAAAGCUAUUUAGGUAGCGCCUCGUGAAUUCAUCUCCGGGGGUAGAGCACUGUUUCGGCAAGGGGGUCAUCCCGACUUACCAACCCGAUGCAAACUGCGAAUACCGGAGAAUGUUAUCACGGGAGACACACGGCGGGUGCUAACGUCCGUCGUGAAGAGGGAAACAACCCAGACCGCCAGCUAAGGUCCCAAAGUCAUGGUUAAGUGGGAAACGAUGUGGGAAGGCCCAGACAGCCAGGAUGUUGGCUUAGAAGCAGCCAUCAUUUAAAGAAAGCGUAAUAGCUCACUGGUCGAGUCGGCCUGCGCGGAAGAUGUAACGGGGCUAAACCAUGCACCGAAGCUGCGGCAGCGACGCUUAUGCGUUGUUGGGUAGGGGAGCGUUCUGUAAGCCUGCGAAGGUGUGCUGUGAGGCAUGCUGGAGGUAUCAGAAGUGCGAAUGCUGACAUAAGUAACGAUAAAGCGGGUGAAAAGCCCGCUCGCCGGAAGACCAAGGGUUCCUGUCCAACGUUAAUCGGGGCAGGGUGAGUCGACCCCUAAGGCGAGGCCGAAAGGCGUAGUCGAUGGGAAACAGGUUAAUAUUCCUGUACUUGGUGUUACUGCGAAGGGGGGACGGAGAAGGCUAUGUUGGCCGGGCGACGGUUGUCCCGGUUUAAGCGUGUAGGCUGGUUUUCCAGGCAAAUCCGGAAAAUCAAGGCUGAGGCGUGAUGACGAGGUACUACGGUGCUGAAGCAACAAAUGCCCUGCUUCCAGGAAAAGCCUCUAAGCAUCAGGUAACAUCAAAUCGUACCCCAAACCGACACAGGUGGUCAGGUAGAGAAUACCAAGGCGCUUGAGAGAACUCGGGUGAAGGAACUAGGCAAAAUGGUGCCGUAACUUCGGGAGAAGGCACGCUGAUAUGUAGGUGAAGUCCCUUGCGGAUGGAGCUGAAAUCAGUCGAAGAUACCAGCUGGCUGCAACUGUUUAUUAAAAACACAGCACUGUGCAAACACGAAAGUGGACGUAUACGGUGUGACGCCUGCCCGGUGCCGGAAGGUUAAUUGAUGGGGUUAGCGGUAACGCGAAGCUCUUGAUCGAAGCCCCGGUAAACGGCGGCCGUAACUAUAACGGUCCUAAGGUAGCGAAAUUCCUUGUCGGGUAAGUUCCGACCUGCACGAAUGGCGUAAUGAUGGCCAGGCUGUCUCCACCCGAGACUCAGUGAAAUUGAACUCGCUGUGAAGAUGCAGUGUACCCGCGGCAAGACGGAAAGACCCCGUGAACCUUUACUAUAGCUUGACACUGAACAUUGAGCCUUGAUGUGUAGGAUAGGUGGGAGGCUUUGAAGUGUGGACGCCAGUCUGCAUGGAGCCGACCUUGAAAUACCACCCUUUAAUGUUUGAUGUUCUAACGUUGACCCGUAAUCCGGGUUGCGGACAGUGUCUGGUGGGUAGUUUGACUGGGGCGGUCUCCUCCUAAAGAGUAACGGAGGAGCACGAAGGUUGGCUAAUCCUGGUCGGACAUCAGGAGGUUAGUGCAAUGGC